CGCGUAGGUGGUUCAGUAAGAUGGGUGUGAAAUCCCCGGGCUCAACCUGGGAACUGCUUUCAUAACUGCUGAGCUAGAGUACGGUAGAGGGUAGUGGAAUUUCCUGUGUAGCGGUGAAAUGCGUAGAUAUAGGAAGGAACACCAGUGGCGAAGGCGACUACCUGGACUGAUACUGACACUGAGGUGCGAAAGCGUGGGGAGCAAACA
rnacentral:rRNA from 1 species